GUAGUCCACGCUGUAAACGAUGUCGAUUUGGAGGUUGUGCCCUUGAGGCGUGGCUUCCGGAGCUAACGCGUUAAAUCGACCGCCUGGGGAGUACGGCCGCAAGGUUAAAACUCAAAUGAAUUGACGGGGGCCCGCACAAGCGGUGGAGCAUGUGGUUUAAUUCGAUGCAACGCGAAGAACCUUACCUACUCUUGACAUCCAGAGAACUUAGCAGAGAUGCUUUGGUGCCUUCGGGAACUCUGAGACAGGUGCUGCAUGGCUGUCGUCAGCUCGUGUUGUGAAAUGUUGGGUUAAGUCCCGCAACGAGCGCAACCCUUAUCCUUUGUUGCCAGCGGUUCGGCCGGGAACUCAAAGGAGACUGCCAGUGAUAAACUGGAGGAAGGUGGGGAUGACGUCAAGUCAUCAUGGCCCUUACGAGCAGGGCUACACACGUGCUACAAUGGCAUAUACAAAGAGAAGCGACCUCGCGAGAGCAAGCGGACCUCAUAAAGUAUGUCGUAGUCCGGAUUGGAGUCUGCAACUCGACUCCAUGAAGUCGGAAUCGCUAGUAAUCGUAGAUCAGAAUGCUACGGUGAAUACGUUCCCGGGCCUUGUACACACCGCCCGUCACACCAUGGGGAGUGGGUUGCAAAAGAAGUAGGUAGCUUAACCUUCGGGAGGGCGCUUACCACUUUGUGAUUC
rnacentral:rRNA from 1 species